rnacentral:snoRNA from 1 species
GAGCAAAUGAUGAUUCCACAUGCUGUUUCUGAUACAUUGAUGUUUCGUAAUCGAGCUUUUUAAUACUGAAGCUCA